rnacentral:rRNA from 1 species
GACGAACGCUGGCGGCGUGCUUAACACAUGCAAGUCGAGCGGUAAGGCUCCUUCGGGAGUACACGAGCGGCGAACGGGUGUGUAACACGUGAGUAAUCUGCCCUUCACUUCGGGAUAACCACCGGAAACGGUGGCUAAUACCGAAUACGACCAGUCUUCGCAUGAGGUGCUGGUGGAAAGUCUUUUCGGUGAAGGAUGUGCUCGCGGCCUAUCAGCUUGUUGGUGGGGUAAUGGCCUACCAAGGCUUCGACGGGUAGCCGGCCUGAGAGGGUGACCGGCCACACUGGGACUGAGACACGGCCCAGACUCCUACGGGAGGCAGCAGUGGGGAAUAUUGGACAAUGGGCGAAAGCCUGAUCCAGCAACGCCGCGUGAGGGAUGACGGCCUUCGGGUUGUAAACCUCUUUCAGUACCGACGAAGCGCCCUGUCGGGUGGUGACGGUAGGUACAGAAGAAGGACCGGCCAACUACGUG